rnacentral:rRNA from 1 species
CAGGCGAGUCGACUUAACGCGUUAGCUCCGGCAAGCCACGCCUCAAGGGCACAACCUCCAAGUCGACAUCGUUUACAGCGUGGACUACCAGGGUAUCUAAUCCUGUUUGCUCCCCACGCUUUCGCACCUGAAGCGUCAGUCUUUGUCCAGGGGGCCGCCUUCGCCACCGGUAUUCCUCCAGAUCUCUACGCAUUUCACCGCUACACCUGGAAUUCUACCCCCCUCUACAAGACUCUAGCUUGCCAGUUUCAAAUGCAGUUCCCAAGUUAAGCUCGGGGAUUUCACAUCUGACUUAACAAACCGCCUGCGUGCGCUUUACGCCCAGUAAUUCCGAUUAACGUCUUGCACCCUCCGUAUUACCGCGGCUGCUGGCACGGAGUUAGCCGGUGCUUCUUCUGCGAGUAACGUCAAUCGUUGCAGUUAUUAACUACAACGCCUUCCUCCUCGCUAAAAGUGCUUUACAACCCUAAGGCCUUCUUCACACACGCGGCAUGGCUGCAUCAGGCUUGCGCCCAUUGUGCAAUAUUCCCCACUGCUGCCUCCCGUAGGAGUCUGGACCGUGUCUCAGUUCCAGUGUGGCUGGUCAUCCUCUCAGACCAGCUAGGGAUCGUCGCCUAGGUGAGCCAUUACCCCACCUACUAGCUAAUCCCAUCUGGGCACAUCCGAUGGCGUGAGGCCCGAAGGUCCCCCACUUUGGUCUUGCGACAUCAUGCGGUAUUAGCUACCGUUUCCAGUAGUUAUUCCCCUCCACAGGCAG